rnacentral:lncRNA from 1 species
UGAGCUUUCCUGGGGAAAGCAUGCUUUGAAUUUGUUCAGACCUUAAUGAGUUAUCUACGAACCAUCAAAUAUUUCACAUUCCAUAUGGAUCAUUGGGGUUUCCUAAAUGACACCAUCAGCUAGGGUGGCUGCAAGGAUCGUAAAUAACUCCUUCAGUUUAAUGAGUUACAUGAGGAAAGGCUGCUCUACCAGGUAAUGAGUCACAGCUUCACUUUGUUGUAGAUCAGCUGAGACACUUGAUUUACUGUGAGGGUUACCUGUAUUAAAACUAAUCAGAGGCUAUCCAGGAAAUCCAAACAGACCCAACCUACCACAAUUUAAUCUCCCCACAAAUAAAACCUACUCAUAAAUCAGAGCCAGCAUGUAAAUGUGUCCCUCUAAUGCUUCUAUUAGGAAACCUAAACCCACAAAAAGCUCAUAGGAUGUGAAAACUGUGGUAAUGCUGGUGGUAUCAGUCAAAUUCAUAGCACAGGAGAUGUGCUAAAACAAUGUCCACAUAGAGGAGAGCUGAGACUGAACUUUUGCUCAGGAGAAAGCAGCACCUCCAGAACUUCAGUCCACAACAGACCAGGAGAGUUGUUCUGUUAUAUCAGUGGAAAUAUGGUCUCUGUUUGCU